UUAUGGUGAUUAAGAGUUUUACAGCCAACA
rnacentral:piRNA from 1 species